AGGACGAACGCUGGCGGCGUGCUUAACACAUGCAAGUCGUACGAUGAUGCCGCAACUUGUUGUGGUGGAUUAGUGGCGAACGGGUGAGUAACACGUGAGUAACCUGCCUUUCACUCUGGGAUAAGCCUUGGAAACGAGGUCUAAUACUGGAUAUGACUCCUUGCCGCAUGGUGGGGGUGGAAAGCCUUCGGGUGGUGGAUGAUGGACUCGCGGACUAUCAGCUUGUUGGUGGGGUUGUGGCCUACCAAGGCUUUGACGGUUAGCCGGCCUGAGAGGGUGAUCGGCCACAUUGGGACUGAGAUACGGCCCAGACUCCUACGGGAGGCAGCAGUGGGGAAUAUUGCACAAUGGGCGAAAGCCUGAUGCAGCGACGCCGCGUGGGGGAUGAAGGCCUUCGGGUUGUAACUCCUUUCGCUCGUGACGAAGCCUUCGGGUGACGGUAGCGGAGAGAGCACCGGCUACUACGUGCCAGCAGCCGCGGU
rnacentral:rRNA from 1 species